ACGUCAUGAGGCUGUGCCGCGCUGCUGCUUUCCUUGUGAUGAAAGCUCCCUCACUAGUGCACUGACUACUGAACUAGAGAGCUGAUGGAGACUGGAUUUGUGUCUUUCUGUUCAUUAUUCUGAUCUUCAACAGGACAAACACAGAAGAUCUGCUGAAGCGACUGAGCUCAGACUGUUAUAAAGAUGGCGUUUAUUAAAGAGGAGAGUGUAGACAUAAAGAUUGAAGAAACAUUCACAGUCAAACAUGAAGAGACUGAAGAAGCUUUCAGAGUCAAACAUGAAGAUCCUGAGGAGCAAACAGAAGACGCGAUGCCACUCAAAGUGGGAGAAUGCCGUGAAUUCAGUCCUGGAGACAAAUCAGAACAGACAAAAACCUCACACAAAACAGCCUGGAAUAGCAUAUUUAACACCUGCCAUCAGUGUGGAAAGACUUUCAAUCGGAAGCAGUACUUUAUAGAACACAUGACGCUUCACACUGGAGAAAAGCCUUACACCUGCCAACAGUGUGGAAAGAGCUUCACCUGGAAACAAAACCACACAAUCCAUAUGAGGAUUCACAGUGGAGAGAAGCCUCACACCUG